rnacentral:rRNA from 1 species
ACUGGAAUCAUGAGUGUGUCACUCGUGAAUUGUAUAAGGAAAAAUAAUGAUGUCACUUUUACAAAUAGUGUUGUCCAAAACUGGUGCCAGAAGACUCGGUAAGGCCAGAGACGCAAGCGUUAAUCAUCCUGAUCAGGCGUAAAGGGUUUGUAGGCAGCUUUAAAUAAUAAAAAUAAUUAAAGAUUGAAUCAAAUAGAGGUAAAGAGAAUCUCUAGACUAGGGUUGAUAUCUGUAUAAACUAGGGAGAAUUCUAAUUAGCGAAGGCACUUUUCUAUCUAAUGAUUGACGCUGAGAAACGAAGGGGAGGAUAGACAAUAGGAUUAGAUACCCUGGCAUCCCUCUCUGUAAACGAUGAAUGGUAGUUGCUAGUAAUAAUAAUUAGUGACGAGGCUAACGCGUUAACCAUUCCGCCUUGUGAGUACGACUGCAAAGUUGAAAACAAAAAAAUUAGUCGGUUUCGGAGCAAACGAAGUGAAGCAUGUUAUUUAAUUCGAUAAUCCGC